rnacentral:rRNA from 1 species
GAGUUUGAUCAUGGCUCAGGACGAACGCUGGCGGCGUGCCUAAUACAUGCAAGUCGAACGCACGAAGUUGAAAAGCUUGCUUUUCGACCAAGUGAGUGGCGGACGGGUGAGUAACACGUGGGUAACCUGCCCAUAAGAGGGGGAUAACAUUCGGAAACGGAUGCUAAUACCGCAUAUUUCAAGUGACCGCAUGGUCGCUUGAUGAAAGGUGGCUUCGGCUACCACUUAUGGAUGGACCCGCGGUGCAUUAGUUAGUUGGUGAGGUAAUGGCUCACCAAGACCAUGAUGCAUAGCCGACCUGAGAGGGUGAUCGGCCACAUUGGGACUGAGACACGGCCCAAACUCCUACGGGAGGCAGCAGUAGGGAAUCUUCGGCAAUGGACGAAAGUCUGACCGAGCAACGCCGCGUGAGCGAAGAAGGCC